rnacentral:rRNA from 1 species
CCUACGGGAGGCAGCAGUGAGGAAUAUUGGUCAAUGGCCGGGAGGCUGAACCAGCCAAGUCGCGUGAGGGAAGACGGCCCUACGGGUUGUAAACCUCUUUUGUCAGGGAGCAAGGUGCAGGUCGGGACCUGCUGUGAGAGUACCUGAAGAAAAAGCAUCGGCUAACUCCGUGCCAGCAGCCGCGGUAAUACGGAGGAUGCGAGCGUUAUCCGGAUUUAUUGGGUUUAAAGGGUGCGCAGGCGGAAGAUCAAGUCAGCGGUAAAAUUGAGAGGCUCAACCUCUUCGAGCCGUUGAAACUGGUUUUCUUGAGUGAGUGAGAAGUAUGCGGAAUGCGUGGUGUAGCGGUGAAAUGCAUAGAUAUCACGCAGAACUCCGAUUGCGAAGGCAGCAUACCGGCGCUCAACUGACGCUCAUGCACGAAAGUGUGGGUAUCGAACAGGAUUAGAUACCCCAGUAGUC